rnacentral:ncRNA from 1 species
AGCUGCAUAACUGACGGAAAAGUGGAUAACCACAUGGGAGUGCAGCAGUUAAUAAGCCGACCGUCUGGGCAA